ACGAACGCUGGCGGCGUGCUUAACACAUGCCAGUCGAGCGGUAAGGCCCCUUCGGGGGUACACGAGCGGCGAACGGGUGAGUAACACGUGAGCAAUCUGCCCAUCACAUCGGGAUAACUCCGGGCAACCGAAGCUAAUACCGAAUACGACCACCUCCGGCAUCGGAUGGUGGUGGAAAGUUCCGGCGGUGAUGGAUGAGCUCGCGGCCUAUCAGCUUGUUGGUGGGGUAACGGCCCACCAAGGCUUCGACGGGUAGCCGGCCUGAGAGGGUGACCGGCCACACUGGGACUGAGACACGGCCCAGACUCCUACGGGAGGCAGCAGUGGGGAAUAUUGGACAAUGGGCGAAAGCCUGAUCCAGCAACGCCGCGUGAGGGAUGACGGCCUUCGGGUUGUAAACCUCUUUCAGCAGGGACGAAGCGAAAGUGACGGUACCUGCAGAAGAAGCACCGGCCAACUACGUG
rnacentral:rRNA from 1 species